rnacentral:rRNA from 1 species
UGAGUAACCUGCCCUUAACUCUGGGAUAAGCCUGGGAAACUGGGUCUAAUACCGGAUAUGACUCCUCAUCGCAUGGUGGGGGGUGGAAAGCUUUUGUGGUUUUGGAUGGACUCGCGGCCUAUCAGCUUGUUGGUGAGGUAAUGGCUUACCAAGGCGACGACGGGUAGCCGGCCUGAGAGGGUGACCGGCCACACUGGGACUGAGACACGGCCCAGACUCCGUACGGGGAGGCAG